rnacentral:lncRNA from 1 species
CGCCCAUGCUUUAAUUAAAAAUGAACCCUAGCUAUCAAUUGAAACACAUUUAAUGGUCAGAAUUCAUGAUUUCUUAAUCAUUUUAUCUGAAAGUUAUUUAUUUAAUUAAAAUAAAAUUCUAGAAUGGCAGAUCUCAGAAAUCCAGAGGGUACUGGUCAGACGAAUACUGUUUCAACCACAACCUUUCCUGCCUCCUCCUUACCAGAUAGCUUAUUUCGCUUUCAAAUUGAUCACUGGAUCAGGAUUUCUCUUGAAAAGACAGACACAUAUUUGUUUUGGCCGACGAGGUCAGUUUGAAAAUGUUUUGGAUGCCAAUCAUCUACCGGAUGUUAUUGAUCCUUCUAAACCAAUUCCCGCUGAGAAGAAGGAUGAUGGCUUUUUAAAUCCGGAAUAUUUUCCUUGAAAAAAGAAGAAUUGUGUGGUUUUAGGUUGAAUACAUUCAUCAGUAGAACCAUCUAUGUUUUCGAAUCACAAGUUUGAGACGUAUUUAACUAUUUAUUACCUCGUAAGACGUGCAACGUUCAGAUGAUUAAAGACCAACUUAGAGACAUCAUAAAAUCUGAAUUUGAAUCAAUGACAAAUUAUGUCAUAAGGGUCGGUGCGUUGAUUGAUUGUUUAUCGACGGCUGGUGAACGUGUGAGACAAAAUUGAAUUUGUCGACGAAGGUCUUGAUAUAGAAUUCAGACCGUUAAUUUCUAGUUUGCACAGUCAGCCAAGGAUUGACACCCCUAUCUCCUACGGAUCAAUAAAGAUGAAUCCAAAUCCUACCUACGUCCUUGCUUGUAUAGUUAUAUCUACAAAGAGAAAAAUGAAUUGUAUUAGGAGAAAAACUAUAAAUCUAGCUAGAGCGACUGGUUGGUCUGCUUUUCAAUUUCCAUGGUAGAUUAAGAUUUGAAAUAAUAAAUACAAAUGUAAUUGCAGCUUACAAAUAGCUAGCUUAAGCCUGGAGAUGAAUAGAAUUGUAGAAUGACGCGUGAUCCAAAUUCCAAGAAUUUUACAGCGCAUUCUGAGUGUGAGAAUCUGUAGUUAUGUACUGUAACCCAUUUUUAUGGUAUUCUUUCUUACUACUUCAAUUCCCAUAUCAGUAGACGAUAGGUACUAUCUUCGACCUGUUUCAUCCAAAACAUACCAACUCCCAAAACGUCUUCAUUGAAACUCCAAACUAUAUUGUUGUUGCAUCAAAUCACGGCUAUCUCCAAUCGUCUUCACUGCAUGAAAAUAUAAAAAAACCAAAACAUAUAUAAACUUACUUCACUGCUUGAUCAGAUCUGUCGAAUGGUGGCUGGCUGGUUUGCUGGUGACUUACCUCUGCAAGUCAGUCACUUUUGCGUUGGGUCUCCAGUGAUAUCCUUUAAUUUCUUGGGUAUUGAGUUUUGUCAGCAAACCAUUUAGAAGUAAUUUGUCCAACUUGUUCUGCUAUAUCUUGAUAUCUGGUGUCUGUUUUAAUUUAACAUAGAUCUAGAUAUGUGUAUAUAUAGCCAUAACGUAGCUCCUCCUUGAAUCUUGAAUCUUUAUACUUGAUAUUUACUGAUAGAUAAACUAUUUUUAACCCGAUAUAAGAUAGAUAACAUGACUAGAUUUUAGUCACAGUCUUUCUUUUUUUUUUUUAAAUGGCGAUUUAUAUUAAAAAUAAAA